UAUAGGUGACUUUUCAAGUCGGUCGUCAAAUCCCAAGACACAAUCCUGGACAGGCGGUGAAACUACCAACCUGGAGUAUGGUAUGGGCAGAGAGAAUUUCCAGUGGAGCGGAGAAAUGCAUUGAGAUUCGAAAAAACACUAAUGCCAACGCCGAGAGCACUUUGUUGGAGCAACACUGACACUAAGA
rnacentral:ncRNA from 1 species